rnacentral:siRNA from 1 species
CUUAUAAAGUGCCUCAAACGUAA